rnacentral:rRNA from 1 species
GACGAACGCUGGCGGCGUGCCUAACACAUGCAAGUCGAACGGAGAUGCCGAGGUAGCUUGCUACAUUGGUAUCUUAGUGGCGGACGGGUGAGUAACACGUGGGCAACCUGCCCCAAAGAGGGGGAUAACACCGAGAAAUCGGUGCUAAUACCGCAUAAUAUUAGAGCUUCGCAUGGAGCUUUAAUCAAAGGAGCAAUCCGCUUUGGGAUGGGCCCGCGUCUGAUUAGCUAGUUGGUGAGGUAAUGGCUCACCAAGGCGACGAUCAGUAGCCGAUCUGAGAGGAUGACCGGCCACACUGGAACUGAGACACGGUCCAGACUCCUACGGGAGGCAGCAGUGGGGAAUAUUGCACAAUGGGGGAAACCCUGAUGCAGCAACGCCGCGUGGAGGAAGAAGGUCUUCGGAUUGUAAACUCCUGUCUUCUGGGACGAAGUAUGACGGUACCAGAGGAGGAAGCCACGGCUAACUACGUGCCAGCGAGCCGCGGU